rnacentral:rRNA from 1 species
AGAGAGAGACAUGCGCGCAUAUCAAUAAGCGGAGGAAAAGAAACUAACUAGGAUUCCCUCAGUAACGGCGAGUGAAGCGGGAAGAGCUCAAAUUUGAAAUCUUCAAGGUUCUACCUUGACGAAUUGUAGUUUAAAGAAGUGUUUUCUGUUGGAGUUUUGGUAAAAGUUCUUUGGAAUAGGACAUCAUAGAGGGUGAGAAUCCCGUAUUUGACCAUUAUUUCCAGCUUUGUGAUACACUUUCAAAGAGUCGGAUUGUUUGGGAAUGCAGUCCAAAAUGGGUGGUAAAUUUCAUCUAAAGCUAAAUAUUGGCGAGAGACCGAUAGCGAACAAGUACCGUGAGGGAAAGAUGAAAAGAACUUUGAAAAGAGAGUUAAACAGUACGUGAAAUUGUCAAAAGGGAAGCGUUUGACACCAGUGUUGUUUUCUCGAAAAUCAAUUAAGAAAGGCAGGAUUUUGUGUUGUAUUGACUUUAUCAGCUUUCUGCACUCUUUUCUUGUCUUUUUUAAUGCACUUUUCGUUUAACAAGUCAACAUCAAUUUCUUUUGUUGUAAAAGGGUCAUUGGAAGGUGGCUUUCUUUUCGGAGAAAGUGUUUAUAGCCUCUUGCCUCUGCAGUCGGAGAGAUUGAGGUCUGCAGCGUAGAUCCUUCGGGGUUAGAUACAUUUGUGCUAAGUUAUAGCCUUUCAUAGACAACUUGUUGACUAUGAUCAGUCAUGUAGCUUACUCGCUUAUGCUAUUUUACCUACGCUUAGGAUGUUGAUGUGAUACUGCGAGCA